UACGGGGGGGGCAAGCGUUGUUCGGAAUUACUGGGCGUAAAGGGCUCGUAGGCGGCCAACUAAGUCAUACGUGAAAUCCCUCGGCUUAACCGGGGAACUGCGUCUGAUACUGGAUGGCUUGAGAUUGGGAGAGGGAUGCGGAAUUCCGGGUGUAGCGGUGGAAUGCGUAGAGAUCCGGAAGAACACCGGUGGCGAAGGCGGCCUGCUGGGCAGUUGCUGACACUGAGGCGCGACAGCGUGGGGAGCAAACAGG
rnacentral:rRNA from 1 species